UCCGAGUUGACCCCGGCAGUCUCCUAUGAGUCCCCGGCAUAACCCGCUGGCAACAUAGGACGAGGGUUGCGCUCGUUGCGGGACUUAACCCAACAUCUCACGACACGAGCUGACGACAACCAUGCACCACCUGUGAAUGACCCUUGCGGACCUCACAUCUCUGUGAGAUUUCCAUUCAUGUCAAGCCUUGGUAAGGUUCUUCGCGUCGCAUCGAAUUAAGCCACAUGCUCCGCCGCUUGUGCGGGCCCCCGUCAAUUCCUUUGAGUUUUAGCCUUGCGGCCGUACUCCCCAGGCGGGGCGCUUAAUGCGUUAGCUGCGGCACAGAGGACGUGGAAGGUCCCCCACACCUAGCGCCCAACAACUAGUCGUCAUCGUUUAGGGCGUGG
rnacentral:misc_RNA from 1 species